rnacentral:rRNA from 1 species
GUGCGUAACAGCUCACUGGUCUAGUGGUUCCGCGCCGACAAUGUAGCGGGGCUUAAGCACACCACCGAAGACACGGCAAUACCGGUUGGUGUUGGGUAGGAGAGCGUCCUGUAUGGGGUGAAGCUGUGGUGUAAACCUAUGGUGGACUGUAUGGGAGUGAGAAUGCAGACAUGAGUAGCGAGAGCGGAGUGCGAAUCUCCGCCGCUGGAUGACUAAGGGUUCCGGGGCCACGUUCGUCGUCCCCGGGUGAGUCGGGUCCUAAGGCGAGGCCGACAGGCGUAGUCGAUUGGAUGAACGGGUUGAUAUUCCCGUACCAGUAUGAGACCGACAGAACUGAGGCCAUGAGUACUAACCUUCGCUAAUCGUUGAGGUUCCUUUCGGGGUUCUGAUGUGGUUGGUGUUGGGAUUGUAGUGGUAGUAGGUUGACACAGGAGUGACACAGGAGGGUAGCCGGCUGUGGAGGUGGUUUUCCAUGGUUAAGCGUGUGGCCUGUAUUCUAGGUAAAUCCGGAGUACAUGAGGGUGAGGCGUGAUGAUGGGAGCGUAUGCUCGAAUUCGGUGAUCCCAUACUGUCGAGAAAAGCUUCGGUGUUAGGGCUUGUACUGCUCGUACCCUAAACCGACACUGGUGGUCAGGUAGAGAAUACUAAAGCGAUCGAGCGAAUCCUGGUCAAGGAACUCGGCAAAUUACUCCCGUGCCUUCGGUAUAAGGGAGACCCCUGAUGGUGAGAAUAUGUACUGUUGGAGCUGUUGGGGGUGGCACAGGCCAGGGGGUAGCGACUGUUUACCAAAAACACAGGAGCGUGCGAAGGCGUAAGCCGCUGUAUACGCUCUGACGCCUGCCCGGUGCCGGAAGGUUAAGAGGAUCCGUUAAACUUUGGUUGAAGCGGUGAAUUUAAGCCCCGGUAAACGGCGGUGGUAACUAUAACCAUCCUAAGGUAGCGAAAUUCCUUGUCGGGUAAGUUCCGACCUGCACGAAUGGCGUAACGACUUCCCCACUGUCUCGACCAGGAGCUCGGCGAAAUUGCAGUACGAGUAAAGAUGCUCGUUAAGCGCAGAAGGACGAAAAGACCCCGGGACCUUUACUAUACCUUGGUAUUGGCGUUAGGCGCGGAUUGUGUAGCAUAGGCGGGAGACUGUGAAACUCAGGCGCUAGCUUGGGUGGAGUCGUAAGGUGAAAUACCGCUCUGUUCUCGUUUGACGUCUAACCACAGCACGUUAUCCGUGUUUGGGACAGUGCCUGGCGGGUAGUUUAACUGGGGCGGUUGCCUCCUAAAGAGUAACGGAGGCGCUCAAAGGUCCGCUCAGCCCGGUUGGUAAUCGGGUGUUGAGUGUAAUCGUACAAGCGGGCUUGACUGUGAGACUGACGGGUCGAGCAGGGACGAAAGUCGGAGAUAGUGAUCCGGUGCCGGCGCACGGGCGUGGCAUCGCUCAACGGAUAAAAGGUACCCCGGGGAUAACAGGCUGAUCAUUCCCAAGAGUCCAUAUCGACGGGAUGGUUUGGCACCUCGAUGUCGGCUCGUCGCAGCCUGGGGCUGGAGCAGGUCCCAAGGGUUCGGCUGUUCGCCGAUUAAAGCGGCACGCGAGCUGGGUUCAGAACGUCGUGGGACAGUUUGGUCUCUAUCCUCUGCGCUCGUUGGAAUCUUGAGGAGGCCUGCCCAUAGUACGAGAGGACCUGGG